rnacentral:rRNA from 1 species
UACGUAGGGGGCAAGCGUUGUCCGGAUUUAUUGGGCGUAAAGAGCGUGUAGGCGGCCUGGAAGGUCAGCUGUGAAAACUCGAGGCUCAACCUCGAGACGUCGGUUGAAACCAUCUGGCUAGAGUCCGGAAGAGGAGAGUGGAAUCCUGGUGUAGCGGUGAAAUGCGCAGAUAUCAGGAAGAACACCCGUGGCGAAGGCGGCUCUCUGGGACGGUACUGACGCUGAGACGCGAAAGCGUGGGGAGCGAACAGG